GACGAACGCUGGCGGCGUGCUUAACACAUGCAAGUCGAACGCUGAAGCUCAGCUUUUGUUGGGUGGAUGAGUGGCGAACGGGUGAGUAACACGUGAGUAACCUGCCCCCUUCUUUGGGAUAACGCCCGGAAACGGGUGCUAAUACUGGAUAUUCACUGGUCUUCGCAUGGGGGUUGGUGGAAAGGGUUUUUCUGGUGGGGGAUGGGCUCGCGGCCUAUCAGCUUGUUGGUGGGGUGAUGGCCUACCAAGGCUUUGACGGGUAGCCGGCCUGAGAGGGUGACCGGUCACAUUGGGACUGAGAUACGGCCCAGACUCCUACGGGAGGCAGCAGUGGGGAAUAUUGCACAAUGGGCGCAAGCCUGAUGCAGCGACGCCGCGUGAGGGAUGGAGGCCUUUGGGUUGUGAACCUCUUUCGCUCAUGGUCAAGCCGCAACAAUGGUUGUGGUGAGGGUAGUGGGUAAAGAAGCGCCGGCUAACUACGUG
rnacentral:rRNA from 1 species